CCCAACCAAACUCAGACAGAAAUACCACUGAGCCUUGGGGAAGUUCAGAUUCAGAUCCAAACAUUUGGCCUGGAGCCACCUUUCUAUCUUAGUACUUAGAUGGGCUCCAUUACUGCCCUAUAAAGUAAUUGAGAUUUAGGCUGCUAAUGCUUAAGUCACUUUUGAAAAUAGGACUUAAAUAUCUAAAUCACUUAGGCCUUGCAAUGCUGAGCAGAGGCUGCCUAAAUAUCAGGCCCUAACUGACUCAGGAAGUCUGUGGAGGAACAGAUACCUGAGCCAAGGUUUCCUACAUCCUAGGCCUCUGGAUGGAUCCAUCCUUCCUCUCUUUGUCAACCCGAUGAGGAUGGAUAAAUAUUACCUCUCUUCGUGAUACUAACCCUAGAGCUACCUGUGACUCUUUGGAACUCUGGCUCUUCCCCAGAAGGGAGAGGAGGGGGGAAAGGACUUGAGGGUACUCCAUAGGAAGGAAUUCCCAAGUGUGCCUUCCUGGGUUCCAAAAAAAGGGGGUUUGCAUUUGCGUGGUGGCAGCAUCUACCAAGCCAAGAUUAUAGUCAGGUGCCUAAGGAAGUCUCUGUUUUCUGAUCAUCUUCUGUAACAGCCCACACCAGCACCCC